rnacentral:rRNA from 1 species
GUUCAAAUUUCUGACCUAUCAACUUUCGAUGGUAAGGUAGUGUCUUACCAUGGUGGUAACGGGUAACGGACCGUGGGUGCGGGACUCCGGAGAGGGAGCCUGAGAAACGGCUACCACAUCCAAGGAAGGCAGCAGGCGCGCAACUUACCCAAUCCAGACUCUGGGAGGUAGUGACAAGAAAUAUCAAUAGGGGAGCCUAUGGUUCUUCUAAUUGGAAUGAGAUCGAGCUAAACAGCCAUAUCGAGAAUCCAGCAGAGGGCAAGUCUGGUGCCAGCAGCCGCGGUAAUUCCAGCUCUGUAAGCGUAUACCAAAGUUGUUGCAGUUAAAACGCUCGUAGUCGGACUUUGGCAGUUCCGGGAGUGUGCGCGUCGUGUGCACGCUUUGCGGGGACUGCUUUUGUGGUAUUGCGUGGGAUGAAGCAUUUUUAUUAAUGAACGUCCCUCCGCAACCACUUUUUACUGUGAGAAAAUCAGAGUGCUCAAAGCAGGCAUUUGCCGUGAAUGUAUUAGCAUGGAAUAAUAGAAUAGGACUUGUUUCUAUUUUGUUGGUUUGUUGGGAAUGAGUAAUGAUUAAGAGGGACAGUUGGGGGGUAUUUGUAUUUCGGCGCUAGAGGUGAAAUUCUUAGAUUGCCGAAAGACAAACUGCUGCGAAAGCGUCUACCAAGGAUGUUUUCAUUGAUCAAGAACGAAAGUAAGGGGAUCGAAGACGAUCAGAUACCGUCGUAGUCUUUACUAUAAACGAUGAGGACUGGGGAUCGGGCGAGGCAUUACGAUGACCCGCCCGGCACCCUUCGAGAAAUCAAAGUGUUUGCUUUCUGGGGGGAGUAUGGUCGCAAGUCUGAAACUUAAAGGAAUUGACGGAAGGGCAUCACCGGGUGUGGAGCCUGCGGCUUAAUUUGACUCAACACGGGAAAACUUACCAGGUCAGGACAUAGUGAGGAUUGACAGAUUGAGAGCUCUUUCUUGAUUCUAUGGUUGGUGGUGCAUGGCCGUUCUUAGUUGGUGGAGUGAUUUGUCUGGUUAAUUCCGUUAACGAGCGAGACCUGGGCGUGCUAACUAGGGGGUACUACCAUUUUGGUAGUAUACUUCCCUUCUUAGACGGACUGUGGGCGUCUAGCCCACGGAAGCUCCAGGCAAUAACAGGUCUGAGAUGCCCUUAGAUGUUCUGGGCCGCACGCGUGCUACACUGAGUGGAUCAGCGGGUUAGGUAACGCGAAAGUGUGUCCUAAUCUUCAAAUCCGCUCGUGAUGGGGAUUGACGGUUGCAAUUUUCCGUCAUGAACGAGGAAUACCUUGUAGGCGCGUUUCAUCAUAACGCGCCGAAUACGUCCCUGCCCUUUGUACACACCGCCCGUCGCUCCUACCGAUUGAGUGGUCCGGUGAGGCUUUGGGA